UUAGAGUUUGAUCCUGGCUCAGGAUGAACGCUAGCGGCAGGCUUAACACAUGCAAGUCGAACGGCAGCGGGGAUUCACUUCGGUGAAUCUGCCGGCGAGUGGCGCACGGGUGAGUAACACGUAUGCAACCUGCCUCUGUCAGGGGUAUAACUCUGCGAAAGUAGGGCUAAUACCGCGUAUAUUCCCGGAGGGCAUCCUCCGGGGAGGAAAGGUUUCGGCCGGACAGAGAUGGGCAUGCGGCGCAUUAGGCAGUUGGUGGGGUAACGGCCCACCAAACCGACGAUGCGUAGGGGUUCUGAGAGGAAGGUCCCCCACACUGGUACUGAGACACGGACCAGACUCCUACGGGAGGCAGCAGUGAGGAAUAUUGGUCAAUGGCCGGAAGGCUGAACCAGCCAAGCCGCGUGAGGGAGGAAGGCGCAGAGCGUCGCAGACCUCUUUUGCCGGGGGACAAAAGGCCGGACGGGUCCGGUUCUGAGGGUACCCGGAGAAAAAGCAUCGGCUAACUCCGUGCCAGCAGCCGCGGUAAUACGGAGGAUGCGAGCGUUAUCCGGAUUCAUUGGGUUUAAAGGGUGCGCAGGCGGGCCUUUAAGCCGGCGGUGAAAUCGCGGGGCUCAACCCCGCCGAGCCGUCGGAACUGGGGGCCUUGAGUGCGGCGGAGGCAUGCGGAAUGCGCGGUGUAGCGGUGAAAUGCAUAGAUAUCGCGCAGAACCCCGAUUGCGAAGGCAGCGUGCCGUGCCGCCACUGACGCUGAGGCACGAAAGCGCGGGGAUCGAACAGGAUUAGAUACCCUGGUAGUCCACGCCGUAAACGAUGAUUACUAGGUGUCGGUGGGUAUGGACCCAUCGGUGCCGCAGCAAACGCAAUAAGUAAUCCACCUGGGGAGUACGUUCGCAAGAAUGAAACUCAAAGGAAUUGACGGGGACCCGCACAAGCGGUGGAGCAUGUGGUUUAAUCCGAAGCAACGCGAAGAACCUUACCAAGUCUUGACAUCCCAUCGAAUAAAGGGUAAUGCCUUUAGUCCUUCGGGACGAUGGAGACAGGUGGUGCAUGGUUGUCGUCAGCUCGUGUCGUGAGAUGUUGGGUUAAGUCCCGCAACGAGCGCAACCCUUAUCUUUAGUAGCCAGCAGGUAAAGCUGGGCACUCUAGAGAGACUGCCGGGGAUAACCCGGAGGAAGGUGGGGAUGACGUCAAAUCAUCAUGCCCCUUAUGAUUUGGGCUACACACGUGCUACAAUGGCGUAAACAGAGGGAAGCGAGCCCGCGAGGGGGAGCAAAUCCCAAAAAUAACGUCCCAGUUCGGAUUGUAGUCUGCAACCCGACUACAUGAAGCUGGAAUCGCUAGUAAUCGCGGAUCAGAAUGCCGCGGUGAAUACGUUCCCGGGUCUUGUACACACCGCCCGUCAAG
rnacentral:rRNA from 1 species